rnacentral:lncRNA from 1 species
AUUGGCAAAAUCAACACACAUUUUUAUUUUGUUUUCAUUUGUUUCACUUCUCAACGUACAUUCUUUUAUUUUCUUCUUUUUUAUAACAUCUUUCUAUAAACAUCCUAUAAACCAACAGAAACAAAAGGUAGAGAAAAAUUAUAUCCUUAAUUAUACUUUGCUUAAAAAUUGUUACAAAAACAAUGUUAAACCCAGCUAAAAUUAGUGCGAAACAGUACAAGAUGCUCGAUUUUGUCUAAUGAACAUAAAUCUCCACUGAUUUAGGCUAUAAAUUGUGAUCAAAAAUCAAAAAGAGGGAGGGGAUUUUUGAGAGAUUAGAAAAGCAAUCACAAAAAAACAUUGAGAAUUUUUUAUUUCUUACUUUUUUUGUUUUCUAAAAAAAACAAGGAGGGAGUGUUACCACUAAGAAUAACAAAUAGAAAGAAGAUUUAGCAAUCAGAUUGCUUCCCAUCAACCAUAGCCUUCAAGCCAAUUCCAACAAAAACCGACGAAGAGGGUAUUUUCUCUUUCUUUUCCGUCUCUUUUGUUCAAAGCGGUAUAAUAUUCAAUGUUGAAAUUUUGUUUUGUUAGAUAUGAAUGAAUUUGGUUUUGUGCGUAAAUGUAUGGAGUUUUGUUGCUACUGUUGAAACUUUGUUUGUUUUGUUGAGCCCCUUUUGAAAUUUGCUUGCUUG